UACGUAGGGUCCGAGCGUUGUCCGGAAUUACUGGGCGUAAAGAGCUCGUAGGUGGUUUGUCGCGUUGUUCGUGAAAACUCACAGCUCAACUGUGGGCGUGCGGGCGAUACGGGCAGACUAGAGUACUGCAGGGGAGACUGGAAUUCCUGGUGUAGCGGUGGAAUGCGCAGAUAUCAGGAGGAACACCGGUGGCGAAGGCGGGUCUCUGGGCAGUAACUGACGCUGGAGGAGCGAAAGCGUGGGGAGCAACAGG
rnacentral:rRNA from 1 species